CCUACGGGUGGCAGCAGUGAGGAAUAUUGGUCAAUGGCCGAGAGGCUGAACCAGCCAAGUCGCGUGAGGGAAGACGGCCCUACGGGUUGUAAACCUCUUUUGUCGGGGAGCAAAGCGAGUCACGUGUGACUCUUUGUGAGUACCCCAUGAAAAAGGAUCGGCUAACUCCGUGCCAGCAGCCGCGGUAAUACGGAGGAUGCGAGCGUUAUCCGGAUUUAUUGGGUUUAAAGGGUGCGCAGGCGGAGGUGAAAGCCAGCGGUCAAAUCGCGGGGCUCAACCCCGUACUGCCGUUGAAACUGCAUCCCUUGAGUGCGCGAGAAGUAUGCGGAAUGCGUGGUGUAGCGGUGAAAUGCAUAGAUAUCACGAAGAACUCCGAUUGCGAAGGCAGCAUACGGGAGCGCAACUGACGCUCAUGCACGAAAGCGUGGGUAUCGAACAGGAUUAGAUACCCGGGUAGUC
rnacentral:rRNA from 1 species